rnacentral:rRNA from 1 species
UACGUAGGGGGCAAGCGUUGUCCGGAAUCAUUGGGCGUAAAGCGCGCGUAGGCGGCCCGGUAAGUCCGUUGUGAAAGUCAAAGGCUCAACCUUUGAACGCCGAUGGAUACUGCCGGGCUAGAGUCCGGAAGAGGCGAGUGGAAUUCCUGGUGUAGCGGUGGAAUGCGCAGAUAUCAGGAGGAACACCAAUAGCAAAGGCAGCUCGCUGGGACGGUACUGACGCUGAGGCGCGAAAGCGUGGGGAGCGAACAGG